GAUGAGGUUGACUGAGAAGAUGAGAGCUGCAGUGUGUAUGUGUGUGUGUGUGUGAGCUGAUGAGGUUGACUGAGAAGACGAGAGCUGCAGUGUGUAUGUGUGUGUGUGUGUGUGUGUGUGUGUGUGUGAGCUGAUGAGGUUGACUGAGAAGAUGAGAGCUGCAGUGUGUAUGUGUGUGUGUGCGAGCUGAUGAGGUUGACUGAGAAGACGAGAGCUGCAGUGUGUAUGUGUGUGUGUGUGUGUGUGUGUGUGUGUGUGUGUGUGAGCUGAUGAGGUUGACUGAGAAGAUGAGAGCUGCAGUGUGUAUGUGUGUGUGUGUGCGAGCUGAUGAGGUUGACUGAGAAGACGAGAGCUGCAGUGUGUAUGUGUGUGUGUGUGUGUGUGUGUGUGUGUGUGUGUGUGAGCUGAUGAGGUUGACUGAGAAGACGAGAGCUGCAGUGUGUGUAUGUGUGUGUGUGUGUGUGUGUGUGUGUGUGUGAGCUGAUGAGGUUGACUGAGAAGACGAGAGCUGCAGUGUGU
ensembl:lncRNA